GAAACAGAGCCAAAAGUAAUUGCAGAAGUAGCACACAGAGACUAUGCCAGAAAGGCUGCGCCGUGGACAAUCUUACAAAACCACCACCCCAAAACUUUGCUUAUAUAUGACUCCCCGACCAAGUCUCUUCAUAUCUCAACCAAUCGAAAACAAAAAGCUUUGGAAGAAGAAGAAGGUUUUUGGCCAUGUCUGCGCUUAUUGAUAUCUGGACCAGUGAGCUCGCCAAGCUACGUGAGAAAGAUCAACUAAUUUCUCCAAAUGCCUCGAGCCCUUCUAAUACCGAAUCGAGCCAACCCAGCCCGGUUGAGGUGCCCCAAGUAAAACAAGGAAACUUUGCUGAGUCCCUGCAUGAUUUUAUGAGCGCCAUAAAAGUCAAACCACCUGUUUUGGCGUCGGAAGCUUCAAUUUCCAUGCUUGUUGACUUCUUCAGUGCCUGAGCCUUGUAGUGGUUUUGCUUGUAUCAUCAUUUCUCAAUGCUUUGAUGCUUUUCUUUUUUCUUCGUGCUUGUGUACAAAGUUUCCACUGUUUUUGAGUGAAAUUUGAUAUUAGUCAAUUCACUCACUGCAAUUACUAUGAAUAUGAAGCAGUCAUUACAAUCUAAUUAAUUGCCUAGAAUACACUAUACGUGGCCAAUCAUUCGUAUCCCAAUUUAAUCACAUUAAAAGGGAUAAAUUAUAGAAUACCAAAAUUCGACUCGGUGGGAGAAGGUGUUGCUUUGCAGGUUGGCCGGUCUUGCAACCUUUUCGUAAAUGGGCUUUUCAAACAAGGUUGGGCCUAUGGAGGUCUAUUCUGUGAUACAAAUAAAGGAAGUUUGAAAAUUUUCGGCACACACGCGGCCCACUUGCUUUCCAAUCCCUGACGGACUUCAGUCUUCAGAUGUGAUUCUUAUGAUCAAGCGAUCACUCAAAGGUUAAACGAGAGAGAAUCCAAAUUCGUCUGCUCUAAAAUCUAAAUACGUUUAAGCGCAUACACGCCUUUUACAAUUACAGAAACAGUCCGGGUUGAUUUGCCAUCUCUCUCGCUUUGGCAUAUCCUCUCCUCCAAUCGAACGAUCUUCGUUUACUCUUCUCUUCUCCCGCUUUCAAUUCUGGAGAAUGAAGCCUCCUUCGGACUUGCGAUACUCUGAAGCCACGGAGGAAUGGAAGGUGUUAUCUGCGGGACCGCCUCCAACCUCGGUUUUAGAGAUCUCGUCAAAUUCUGCGAUUCGGAUGUUUCCAGUACCUGCCGCUUCCAAUCUCUCGCCAGAACCUUGCAGAACGGAGCGAUUAGGCUCUACGGUUGUUACCACUUGAAGAUUCCUUAGGCUUUUGCUUUCGUCGGCGAAGCCAUUGGAAGGGAAUUAGUCAAGGAGGCCAUCAAAGCAUCAGUGAGGACGAAUGACUAUCUGCCUGUGAGGUGACCAAUUAACUUUUUCGGUAGUCUCAUCGCUUAUGUUUUUGUGACAAGAAAUGCUUUCCUCAUGAUUGUUAUAAGUUAUAACAUGCAUUUUGAUGUGUCCACAUGGCUUAUGGUGACAGAUCUAGAUGGCAGUUGUGAGUUUUUCAGAAAAUUUGUGUGAAUUAGAUUCAACUUACACUGUGACUGACAGGCUUUUUGUCAGAGAAAAAUGUGCAUUUACAGCAGGAUUAGAUUCAACUUACGCUGUGACUGACUUACUUUAUUAGUUGUCAUUACAUGAUCAGGAAAUUUUUAGUUCAAUAUCCUUGAACUAAAAGUACUUUGUGAUUUUUUUUUAUAAGCAAGUACUUUGUGAUUGUUGCACUCUUUUUUUAAUAAAAUGCUAGACCAAAUGAAAUUUUUGAUCAACAUUCAUGCCUACCACUAGGAAAUUAAGCAUAUGGGAUUGAGAAUUCUAGUGGAAGGUGACUGGUCAUUCCUUCAUCCUACAUUGCCUAGGUGGGAAGCCAUGAAGUGUUUCAUAUGGGCAGACCCUUCCUUAACUAGAAUGAUGCAUUUUAAAAAUUCUGUGGGGGUGAGGCCCAAAGUGAACAAUAUUGUGCUAGUGUGUUAGGGGUUUUUGUUGAUCUUUCUAUUAGAAUUUUUCUAUAGUGCUUCAUUGUGAAAUGUUAUUAUGUAUCUACUGGUAUUCAAUGUAUUUCAUCAAUUUGAAGACAUUCAAUGAAGUUUAUCAAUUUGUUGUACCUUUUUUAUUUAUUUAUUUAUGUUGUCUAGUUUUUAGAGUAAUAUAUUUUUAUUUUAUUCUCAUUUAUACAAUAUUUAUAUACUCUUUAGCUAUUUCCUGCAAUCACUCUGGUGUGUUUUAUUGCUGACAUGUGGCAUCUUAAUUGGACUAAUACAUUGUAUACAAAUAGUAUAUUGAUCAAGAAAAUAUCAGAUUUCUCCACACAAGGAAUGUUAUUAGAUCAGCAAGCAUGACUUUUCUUUUAGACUCUUUUCCCUUAAAAGAUGUGGCAGCUGGAUAAAGAAGCUCAAUAAAUAUGAUCGGGCUCAAGGCUUAUCAGGUAUAUUCUUCUGUGCUAAGUGCUAACAUACUUUUGGAGUUUGGACAUAAAGCGUUGGUGCCAUUUGAUUGUGGCUCUUAUUUUAGAGCUUUUGGUUUUUAAUGGGCAGUUUAUGCCUCCAGGAGUUUAAAACAAUUAGAAGUUUUAGUGGAGAAAAAUGUGGCCACAAAUUUUAUUGAUUUAGAGCCAUGGGAUGAGGUAUACACUACUUGGCAAUGAUGACAAGUGGCUGUUUUCAAUAUAUUACAUGGACGUUACAAUAUUGCAUAGACAUGUUUCCCUUCACUUUGCGUUAUUAUUUCACAUAUGUGCAUUCUUGAAGCAAGCGUUAUAGUUUUCUAGGCGAUUUGCGGUAUCUUUACCUUGACUUGUAUUCAAGGCCCAGAGCAAAUAUCCUGGUUGUUCUAAUUUUGCAUUUAGAGGGGGUUGAUGGAUUUGAGACAGAAUAUCUGCUUCCUGUAUGUAAUUGUUUCGUUAUUCGGCAUAUCCCAGUCUUGUUUGGUAAACAGCGUAUCCCACAACAUUGUUUGGUAAACAGCAUAUCCCACAUUACAGUAAUUGAUGAUCAUAUUCACCUCUUUUUCUUCAAACAUGACUGAGAAUCCGAAAACAUAGCCUGAGCAUUCAAGUAUUUUUAUAUGGCACUCAAAUGUUCUUAGAUUUAAAGGAUUGUCAAACUCAAACCAUUUCUCCCCUUGAGGACCUUUGCUCAGAAGGGGAAUUUUAGUUUCAAACCUACUGCUCUAGAAUAAACAAGUACUCAAUAUACUGCUACCUUAUUACAGUUUCGGCACCUGUUACAGAAAGUUAUAGCUGUUUUGGUUUGGUAUUUCUAGUGCUGAACUUUUUUUUUUUUGUGACAAAAUCACAAAACAAUAGAAUAUAUUAAAUAGGCACCAGAGGGUGCCACCUGAUUGCAUCGGACAGGGGACUGGUUCCAAGAAAUAACGUGCAUGAUCAAAAGCUUUUGUAGGAAAGAAUAUGUAGUUCAACUUAUUAAUUUGGCCUGCUAUUUUGUUUUCCCAUUAGAGUAUGUUGGCGUGCAUGUUAAAGUGGUUAAUGGUUAAAGAUUUUUGUACUGACUGUUGCAAUGCUAUGUUAUUUUUCCAUUAAAUUAAACAAAAAAAAAAAUUGUUUACAAUAUUGCAAUGCUGUUUUCCAUCAAAGAUGCAAGUGUUAACGAUGAUUAUGUUGGAGGGAAUGACAAACAGUGUUUGAUGGUUAGAAUACUAGUGCCAAUUUUUAAUCUAUUCAGGGUGUUCAAUAGCUUUCUGAUGGGUUUUUGCUAGAAGCGAUCUUCAUCAACUCUGGUCUGAACUAAGCAUGUUUUAUGCUAGAAUAUAACUUGAAUGCAUACCGCCAAGUUUUCCUAGUAGUCACUUUUAAUAAUGGAAGUGAAGGCUACAUUUACAUACUGCAUCUUAAGAUUGUAUCUGAAUACUGUACAAGUGUGAUGCUAUUUAAAUCUCAUAAAAUCUAUUUCGUGUCUCUAAUUGCUUGACUUCUUUAGUUUGGUGCCUCUGCAAGAUGUAUCUGCAAUGGUUUAGGAACAUGGUUCAUCGAUAAUGAUACAUCACCACUGGGAAGUAGAAACUUGGUUUCAAAAGUUUUGAUGUUCUUUCAUUCCUUACUCCCAAGCACACUAUUUGUUCGAAUGCUGAACUAUUCACAAUGCCUUGUGUUUUCAACUUCAUGUUAAUUAAUCUUCAUUGUUCUUUGUAGAAUUACCAACAUUUCUCUGGCCCCUGGGUGGCACUCGACUGAGCUCUUCAAACCUCUGAGGAAAUUAGAAAAAGACGAGCUGUUUGUGAAAUAUCACUAGUGUGAAAAGGAAAAUGGUCGUUUCCAGGAUUUUCACAAACCAUUACUUUAGAUCGUUUGUUUUGACGUUCCUAGUUUAAGUGAAUAUCUCUGACCGAAUAACUUCGGCUGAUGGGGCUUACGUCCCAAAUUGGCUUUAAAGGUGA